AGGAGUGACCCCCGCAAGGGGGAACCAUGAACCGGGUCAGGCCUUAACCGGAGCAGCCCUAAGCGGUGCACCUUUGUGUGGGGGUCGCUCCACGG
rnacentral:SRP_RNA from 1 species